UAAAUUGAAGCCAAAUGUUAAGGUGCUUAGCUGUUAACUAAGAAGUAGUGAGAUAAAAACCCUCCAGUUUAG
rfam:Sarcophilus harrisii ctg7180002517384, whole genome shotgun sequence.